UACGUAGGGUGCGAGCGUUGUCCGGAAUUAUUGGGCGUAAAGAGCUCGUAGGCGGUGUGUCGCGUCGGCCGUGAAAACCUGGGGCUCAACUCUGGGCGUGCGGUCGAUACGGGCAUCACUUGAGUUCGGCAGGGGAGACUGGAAUUCCUGGUGUAGCGGUGAAAUGCGCAGAUAUCGGGAGGAACACCGGUGGCGAAGGCGGUUCUCUGGGCCUGUACUGACGCUGAGGAGCGAAAGCGUGGGGAGCGAACAGG
rnacentral:rRNA from 1 species